rnacentral:rRNA from 1 species
UCGUACGCUUCUUUUUCCACCGGAGCUUGCUCCACCGGAAAAAGAGGAGUGGCGAACGGGUGAGUAACACGUGGGUAACCUGCCCAUCAGAAGGGGAUAACACUUGGAAACAGGUGCUAAUACCGUAUAACAAUCGAAACCGCAUGGUUUUGAUUUGAAAGGCGCUUUCGGGUGUCACUGAUGGAUGGACCCGCGGUGCAUUAGCUAGUUGGUGAGGUAACGGCUCACCAAGGCCACGAUGCAUAGCCGACCUGAGAGGGUGAUCGGCCACAUUGGGACUGAGACACGGCCCAAACUCCUACGGGAGGCAGCAGUAGGGAAUCUUCGGCAAUGGACGAAAGUCUGACCGAGCAACGCCGCGUGAGUGAAGAAGGUUUUCGGAUCGUAAAACUCUGUUGUUAGAGAAGAACAAGGAUGAGAGUAACUGUUCAUCCCUUGACGGUAUCUAACCAGAAAGCCACGGCUAACUACGUGCCAGCAGCCGCGGUAAUACGUAGGUGGCAAGCGUUGUCCGGAUUUAUUGGGCGUAAAGCGAGCGCAGGCGGUUUCUUAAGUCUGAUGUGAAAGCCCCCGGCUCAACCGGGGAGGGUCAUUGGAAACUGGGAGACUUGAGUGCAGAAGAGGAGAGUGGAAUUCCAUGUGUAGCGGUGAAAUGCGUAGAUAUAUGGAGGAACACCAGUGGCGAA